rnacentral:lncRNA from 1 species
CCAAAAUUGGGUUGUGGGGGGACAGUGUCCCCAAAAUUGGGCUGUGGGGGGACAGUGUCCCCAAAAUUGGGCUGAGAGGGGACAGUGUCCCCAAAAUUGGGCUGUGAGGGCACAGUGUCCCCAAAAUUGGGCUGUGGGGGGGACAGUGUCCCCAAAAUUGGGCUGUGAGGGCACAGUGUCCCCAAAAUUGGGCUGUGAGGGGACAGUGUCCCCAAAAUUGGGCUGUGGGAGGGCACAGUGUCCCCAAUAUUGGGCUGUGCAGGGACAGUGUCCCCAAAAUUGGGCUGUGGGGGGACAGUGUCCCCAAAAUUGGGCUGUGGGGGGACAUGUGCCAGGUGUGACAUCCCCAGUCCUGUGCCACUGCCCCAUGCUGUGUUCCUGUCCCCAACCUCUCUGCCACGUCCUCUGCUCAUGUCCCUGCUCUGUCCCUAUCCCAGUGCCCUGUCCCUUGUCCCCAUCCCUGUAUCGUGUCCCCUGUCCCAUCCCUGUCCCUUGUCCCCAUCCCAGUGCCCUGUCCCCUGUCCCCAUCCCUGUGCUGUGUCCCCUGCCCCAUCCCAGUGCCCUGUCCCUUGUCCCCAUCCCUGUAUCGUGUCCCCUGUCCCAUCCCUGUCCCUUGUCCCCAUCCCUGUAUCGUGUCCCCUGUCCCAUCCCUGUCCCCUGUCCCCAUCCCAGUGCCCUGUCCUCUGUCCCCAUCCCUGUAUCGUGUCCCCUGUCCCAUCCCUGUCCCCAUCCCAGUGCCAGCUCCUUUGUCCUGUCCCUCCUCCGUGUCCCCUGUGUCCCCGCCCUGCCACCACCCUGUCCCAUCCGCCUGCCGUGUCCCUUGUCCCAUCCCUCUGCCGUUUCCUGUCCCCACGCCCUGCCAUCAUCCUGUCCUGUCCCUCUGCCAUGUCCUGUGUCCCUGUCCUGUCCCUCUGCCAUGUCCCGUGUCCCUGUCCCCAUCCCUCUGCCAUGUCCUGUGUCCCUGUCCUGUCCCUCUGCCAUGUCCCGUGUCCCUGUCCCCAUCCCUCUGCCAUGUCCCGUGUCCCCUGUCCUGUCCCUCUGCCAUGUCCCGUGUCCCCUGUCCCCGUCCCUCUGCCACGUGCCCCUGCCCUGCCAGCGCCCCGAGGUUCUGUCCCGUGCCAGCAGCCGGUGUCCCUGCCCUGUGCUGUCACCCUGUGUCCCCAUGCCGUGCCAGCUCCAGUGUCCCUGUCCCCCUGCCAUGCCCUGUGUCCCCAUUCCCCUGUCCCCAUGUGGUGGUGGCAGUGUCCCCUGUCCUCGCCUUGUUCCAUGCCACUGUCCCCGUGCCAUGUCCCCUGUCCCCAUUCCUUUCCUGUGCCACUGUCCCCUGUCCCCACACCUUUACUGUGCCACUGUCCCCUGUCCCUAUUCCUUUCCUGUGCCGUGUCCCCUGUCCCCACACCCUUACUGUGCCACUGUCCCCGUGCCAUGUCCCCUGUCCCCAUUCCUUUCCUGUGCCAUGUCCCCUGUCCCCCCGCCCGGGACCCCACCCUCAGCAGUGCCCCUGUCCCCGUGCUGCCCCCGUGCCGUGCCAGCCCCUGUCCCUGUCC